GUAACAGAAUACUGUCAGGAAGGUUCAAUCUCUACUGCCAUAUCACCAACAACCGUCUCUGGCACUGUGGGUCAACAUAACAAAAUAGGAGGCACUGUUUGCAGAGCAGCCCUUGUACAUCUAAUACCCUUUCCAGCACUUCUGAAUUUUAAUAAGACCUCCAGUUAUUAAGAAGUAAAUAGUAGCACGUUUUACCACACAUAUCAUUCAAUCACACUCUGUGAAUGCAUUUUACUUGGAACACGACCUUUGAGAAAUUCUCUCGAAGCCACAGAUCGCCAGCCCCCCUUCAAGUGGCACCGCAGCCUAGAACCUUACAGCUCAGGCAGGGAAAUCAACAGGACCAGCCCAGAGAAGUUCAGCUAUAGCUGAGCUUCUGUAAUUGCAAAGACAAGAACUGAGGAUGACAUACAGGGCAGAAGAAAAUGUUAGUGCUACACUGACUUCAGAAGAAAACUGCAAGUUUAAAUUACACCCACGUAGAGGCUGAGGACUUGCAGCUCCGGGCCAAGCAAUGCCUAUGACUCCAUUUCAGAUAGUAGCAGACAAAUUUUGGAAUGAUUAUUUGUUUUAAACUUG